GGCGUGCCUAUACAUGCAAGUCGAGCGAAUGGAUUAAGAGCUUGCUCUUAUGAAGUUAGCGGCGGACGGGUGAGUAACACGUGGGUAACCUGCCCAUAAGACUGGGAUAACUCCGGGAAACCGGGGCUAAUACCGGAUAACAUUUUGAACCGCAUGGUUCGAAAUUGAAAGGCGGCUUCGGCUGUCACUUAUGGAUGGACCCGCGUCGCAUUAGCUAGUUGGUGAGGUAACGGCUCACCAAGGCAACGAUGCGUAGCCGACCUGAGAGGGUGAUCGGCCACACUGGGACUGAGACACGGCCCCAGACUCCUACGGGAGGCAGCAGUAGGGAAUCUUCCGCAAUGGACGAAAGUCUGACGGAGCAACGCCGCGUGAGUGAUGAAGGCUUUCGGGUCGUAAAACUCUGUUGUUAGGGAAGAACAAGUGCUAGUUGAAUAAGCUGGCACCUUGACGGUACCUAACCAGAAAGCCACGGCUAACUACGUGCCAGCAGCCGCGGUAAUACGUAGGUGGCAAGCGUUAUCCGGAAUUAUUGGGCGUAAAGCGCGCGCAGGUGGUUUCUUAAGUCUGAUGUGAAAGCCCACGGCUCAACCGUGGAGGGUCAUUGGAAACUGGGAGACUUGAGUGCAGAACGAGGAAAGUGGAAUUCCAUGUGUAGCGGUGAAAUGCGUAGAGAUAUGGAGGAACACCAGUGGCGAAGGCGACUUUCUGGUCUGUAACUGACACUGAGGCGCGAAAGCGUGGGGAGCAAACAGGAUUAGAUACCCUGGUAGUCCACGCCGUAAACGAUGAGUGCUAAGUGUUAGAGGGUUUCCGCCCUUUAGUGCUGAAGUUAACGCAUUAAGCACUCCGCCUGGGGAGUACGGCCGCAAGGCUGAAACUCAAAGGAAUUGACGGGGGCCCGCACAAGCGGUGGAGCAUGUGGUUUAAUUUGAAGCAACGCGAAGAACCUUACCAGGUCUUGACAUCCUUUGACAACCCUAGAGAUAGGGCUUUUCCUUUGGGAGCAGAGUGACAGGUGGUGCAUGGUUGUUGUCAGCUCGUGUCGUGAGAUGUUGGGUUAAGUCCCGCAACGAGCGCAACCCUUGAUUUUAGUUGCCAUCAUUAAGUUGGGCCCUUUAAGGUGACUGCCGGUGACAAACCGGAGGAAGGUGGGGAAGACGUCAAAUCAUCAUGCCCCUUAUGACCUGGGCUACACACGUGCUCACAAUGGACGGUACAAAGAGCUGCAAGACCGCGAGGUGGAGCUAAUUUCAUAAAACCGUUUUCAGUUCGGAUUGUAGGCUGCAACUUGCCUACAUGAAGCUGGAAUCGCUAGUAAUCGCGGAUCAGCAUGCCGCGGUGAAUACGUUCCCGGGCCUUGUACACCCCGCCCGUCACCCCCCGAGAGUUUGUAACCCCCGAAGUCGGUGGGGUAACCUUUUGGAGCCAGCCGCCUAAGGUG
rnacentral:rRNA from 1 species